UAACACAUGCAAGUCGAGCGGAGCGAAGGUGCUUGCACCUUAGCUUAGCGGCGGACGGGUGAGUAAUGCUUAGGAAUCUGCCUAUUAGUGGGGGACAACAUUCCGAAAGGAAUGCUAAUACCGCAUACGCCCUACGGGGGAAAGCAGGGGAUCUUCGGACCUUGCGCUAAUAGAUGAGCCUAAGUCAGAUUAGCUAGUUGGUGGGGUAAAGGCCUACCAAGGCGACGAUCUGUAGCGGGUCUGAGAGGAUGAUCCGCCACACUGGGACUGAGACACGGCCCAGACUCCUACGGGAGGCAGCAGUGGGGAAUAUUGGACAAUGGACGCAAGCCUGAUCCAGCCAUGCCGCGUGUGUGAAGAAGGCCUUUUGGUUGUAAAGCACUUUAAGCGAGGAGGAGGCUACUUGGAUUAAUACUCUAGGAUAGUGGACGUUACUCGCAGAAUAAGCACCGGCUAACUCUGUGCCAGCAGCCGCGGUAAUACAGAGGGUGCGAGCGUUAAUCGGAUUUACUGGGCGUAAAGCGUGCGUAGGCGGCUUUUUAAGUCGGAUGUGAAAUCCCUGAGCUUAACUUAGGAAUUGCAUUCGAUACUGGGAAGCUAGAGUAUGGGAGAGGAUGGUAGAAUUCCAGGUGUAGCGGUGAAAUGCGUAGAGAUCUGGAGGAAUACCGAUGGCGAAGGCAGCCAUCUGGCCUAAUACUGACGCUGAGGUACGAAAGCAUGGGGAGCAAACAGGAUUAGAUACCCUGGUAGUCCAUGCCGUAAACGAUGUCUACUAGCCGUUGGGGCCUUUGAGGCUUUAGUGGCGCAGCUAACGCGAUAAGUAGACCGCCUGGGGAGUACGGUCGCAAGACUAAAACUCAAAUGAAUUGACGGGGGCCCGCACAAGCGGUGGAGCAUGUGGUUUAAUUCGAUGCAACGCGAAGAACCUUACCUGGUCUUGACAUAGUAAGAACUUUCCAGAGAUGGAUUGGUGCCUUCGGGAACUUACAUACAGGUGCUGCAUGGCUGUCGUCAGCUCGUGUCGUGAGAUGUUGGGUUAAGUCCCGCAACGAGCGCAACCCUUUUCCUUAUUUGCCAGCGGGUUAAGCCGGGAACUUUAAGGAUACUGCCAGUGACAAACUGGAGGAAGGCGGGGACGACGUCAAGUCAUCAUGGCCCUUACGACCAGGGCUACACACGUGCUACAAUGGUCGGUACAAAGGGUUGCUACCUAGCGAUAGGAUGC
rnacentral:rRNA from 1 species